rnacentral:rRNA from 1 species
AGUGAACGCUGGCGGUAGGCCUAACACAUGCAAGUCGAACGGCAGCACAGUAAGAGCUUGCUCUUACGGGUGGCGAGUGGCGGACGGGUGAGGAAUACAUCGGAAUCUACUUUUUCGUGGGGGAUAACGUAGGGAAACUUACGCUAAUACCGCAUACGACCUACGGGUGAAAGCAGGGGAUCUUCGGACCUUGCGCGAUUGAAUGAGCCGAUGUCGGAUUAGCUAGUUGGCGGGGUAAAGGCCCACCAACGCGACGAUCCGUAGCUGGUCUGAGAGGAUGAUCAGCCACACUGGAACUGAGACACGGUCCAGACUCCUACGGGGGGCAGCAGUGGGGAAUAUUGGACAAUGGGCGCAAGCCUGAUCCAGCCAUACCGCGUGGGUGAAGAAGGCCUUCGGGUUGUAAAGCCCUUUUGUUGGGAAAGAAAAGCAGCAGGUUAAUACCCCGCUGUUCUGACGGUACCCAAAGAAUAAGCACCGGCUAACUUCGUG